CGUUAACGAACGAGACCCCCGCCUGCUAAAUAGUGUGGCUUACGCUUUUGCGUAGGUGCUCGCUUCUUAGAGGGACUUCUGGUGACCAACCAGAGGAAGUUGGGGGC
rnacentral:rRNA from 1 species